UCAGAAACGUUGAAGCCUUAUGUUUGGGACUUCAGAUGGACCAAGGUAGACGUGCUUAUACCAUUCAAGCACAGAAACAACUACAUAUAGGCUGGAGGAAGUUUUAAUUCCUAGCAAGCCAGCUUUUGCAGUCACCAGCACACACUUUACAACUGGACCUGACCCAUUUGGAUCUUCUGUGAAAUAAAACAAACAGAAAACCACCAUUGCUUUUCUUUUGGUCCCUUCAAAUGUGUCUGCACCUUAGUCGUUCCUUUAUAAACUGUUCCUAGUAACACUGUCUAUGUUACACAGGAAACUGACAGAAUAAUCUGUUCUACUAACAUCCUUCAUAAAGCUGAUGAGACCCUCCGAAGAACCAUCUCUCAGACGAUGAGGGAAGCCAAAGAUGAACAAAUACCUCCUACUAACCUGAAGCGUCUAGCAGAAGAACUUAACAAGCUCAAAGCAGAUGUGUUAGAAGAUCUAAGACAAGGAGACAGAAAAUACCUGUGCUUUCAGCAAACCACCGACUUACCAGAUGUUAUUUCUUCUUUUUGUAAGGAGAGAGAUACCAUUGUGCAGAAGUAUUUUUCAAAGCAACAUUAAACUUUCUGAAUUUCUAGU
rnacentral:lncRNA from 1 species